GAUGAAGAACGCGGCGAAAUGCGAUAAGUAAUGUGAAUUGCAGAAUCCAGUGAAUCAUCGAAUCUUUGAACGCACAUUGCGCCCGCCAGCAUUCUGGCGGGCAUGCCUGUUCGAGCGUCAUUUCAACCCUCGACCUCCCUUUGGGGAAGUCGGCGUUGGGGACCGGCAGCACACCGCCGGCCCUGAAAUGGAGUGGCGGCCCGUCCGCGGCGACCUCUGCGUAGUAAACCAACUCGCACCGGAACCCCGACGUGGCCACGCCGUAAAACACCCAACUUCUGAACGUUGACCUCGAAUCAGGUAGGACUACCCGCUGAACUUAAGCAUAUCAAUAAGCGGAGGA
rnacentral:misc_RNA from 1 species